UACAGUAGACAGCAAAUGGCCAAGGUAAUUGGGGGCAUUCAACAGAUCCAUUCUGCUCUAAUUGAACAUAAUGAUUCUUAUCCUCAAACCAUCAUGAUCAUCCCUAACGACACAGAAAAAGUUGCGUGGAUAGAUUUUGAUAUUGCAAUCACAUAGCAGCUACAUCGGGGAAAGGGAGUGUGGCUGGCUUGAUCUUGAAGCUGAGCGUGUGGAAGACUUCGGGGUGAAACUUGUUCGUGCCUUGAAUAUCUUGCGGGGGUUUUUUUUUUUGAUCUCUGACAGAUUAACAAGCAGAUGACCAGAGACGGGGGUCUCCCACCAAACACAAAAUAUUACUGACAUAUUAAUUUACAAUCCGAACACAGAUGCGCAGGUAGCAAAAGAAAAAGCAGAUGGAUAGAAUAUGAAAGCCCUGUGAAAUUUGAGACCAUUCCUUUAUGACCCCAGGUAAUAGCACAAUAUACACGCAUAUCCGCCAUUCGUUUUCUGCCACCCCGAGCAUCCCGAGAUACCAAAGUCCCACAAAAAUGGUCAAACACGCAGGUCCUGCUGCCUCCCGUGGUAUGGCACAUCCUACCAACAAGUUGCCAUUUGUCUCAAUAUGAAAUUCCGUAAUUAGGACCAAUUCAAUAUUUGUGAGUACAAACGCACAGCAUGCGCGACGCCGCGACGCCGUUUCAUGUAAAAACUGAUCUGUGGGAGGCUAAAAAUACUCAGUGUGCAAUCUGCUGGUGACACUGCUGUUGACCAGCCAGAUCCCCAAGUCACUGACACCUUCGAAUCUCCUGGGCAGCAAUUUCUUCCAGUUUGGCAGCAAGCAAUAUCAGAAGUUGUUGGUAAUCUGGGCGCCCUCACAUAUGCCUUGGGAAUUAUUAACUGCUAUAACAAGAGAGACAGAGUAUCAUAUUGCA
rnacentral:sRNA from 1 species